AAAUGAGAAAAGAAAAUCCAAAGAGGAGGGCCUCGAAAGCAGUAAGCUGAACUAGCAACAACACAGAGCAGAUACAGAUGUGCACAUCAGACAUGCAGAACUCCAAAGAAAAGAAGGCAGCACUUCCUAUUUGUAAGCCUUGGAUUAACUAUGAAGCAAUGCAAUCCCAGCGCAGGGAUGAGACAUCGAAAAAUCAAACCUCAUGAUUUCUUUGCCUGACAAAACUUGGGGGAAUAAGACCACGUGGAAUGAGAUGGUCCCUGGUGACCGGUUGGAAUGGCAUGAAUUCGAGUAUGAGUUAGCAUCUCCGUCUUCCUGCCUCCCUGAGUCAAGUGCAGCAUGUUCUGGGAGAAUUCUGUGCUUGUCAGUGAGCUGGAAGGUGGUUCUUAGCUUUUUACACUGAGCUCUUAACCUUUUAUGCUGGGUCAAAAGUUAAGAGCUCAGCUCUUACUGGACAGACUUGAACCAGUACCCCCAGUUUAUCUGCACCUCCAAAAAUGGAGUCAGAAAAAACUCGAAAGGGGUGAUUCCAUCAUCUCUGUUGCCGUGGUGGGAAGUAGACACUAGGGCUUUCCAGGGAAUGUGUGGAGGUCAGUGAGAAGGCUGCAGCCGCAGCAACGGGAAUGAGGCUGGAGAGACCACAGCGGGACUGGCCCACACAAGAAAGAUGGGCCCCUGAUCCAAUUCUUCACUAAAAGUGACCACGACUAAAAUUAGAGCUCAGUGGUCCAAAUCAGAGAUUCAGAGAUAUCUUAGAACUUUUGGCAUCAGUAGAGCAUGAGGAGAAUAUACAGUAUUUUGAGGGUCUAAAUAGAUCUGGAUGCUAUUGGCAUCACAAACUGCCUUUCCUGCUGUAGCCAAAAGAAAAGGUAGAUUUCUGAGCCUUCUUCUGACUCUGUAGAUAAGUGAGCAAGAGGGAGAAACUGUUCCUUCUGAAUCUACUUCCCUAAGUUGCUUUCCUUGUGUUUCAUUGAAUACAUUGAAGUUGUAUGAGAAUACAGAGGAAUAUUUGAGUCAUUCAGGUUUCAUUCAGUAGUUUGUUAGAUUAAAGCUGCAUUCACUUAGAAAGAACCCGGUUAGGCUAAAAGACAGAAACUGCACAAGUGACAAGACAGAAAAGCAAGUAACUAAGGAAAAAAAAAAAUCCACUAAAGUCUUUGGUUUGCUUUAUUUAAAUGCCUUUGUUAAAUUUAUUUUGCUAGCCAACUGCUUUUUGUCUCUAAAAUGAUAUUCUAAAUAAAACAUUAACUUUUUGUUGAAAA